AAAUAGUCCAAAUUGGGUUCAAUUCAUAAGUGGAUAUCACAUCCAUCAUCACAAUACAAAAUUAUCAAAUCAACACCCCAUCAAAUGUUCUCAUUAAAGAAUUGCAUCUUGAACCACUCCAUCCCACCGUUCAAAGUAGCAAGCCCACUCAGAGGAAAAUGUUAACACAAAGCUACUCCAUCUUUUAAAAUGUAGGAAGACAGUAUAUGCAUCAAAAUAUAAAAAAGUUGAAAAGAAUAUGGACGCGAGACCUGUGUGUUGCUCUUCUUUGAUCGAAACCACCGGAGCUUCAAUUCCUACAAUCCAAUCCAAAUCUCACAUUAAGGCGUUGGCGAGCUGAUUUGCACUUCAUCGGCAACAAGACCAGCAUUGGCUUCAUCGGCAACAUCGGCUUCAUAAGCGACGACAACGUCGGCUGCAUCCUCGACGCUCCUCUUCGAUUUGGACUGAUCUCCAUCGACGACGAGUUAGAUCUGAACAUUUCGGGGGAGUAGAAUCUCCGGCAGUUAUACUCCAGUUGUUCAACGUUGCGGUCGGCGAUGGAAGGCAGUGGAUCAACGAUGGAAACUGAGAGAGAGAGAGAGAGAGCAGAUGAGAAUGAGAGGUGAGGGAGAGGAGAUAGAUAAUAAGAUUAGGGGUAAAAAUGUAUUUUUGUUAAGAAACAUUAGAAUGGGUUAAGGAACAUGUUUUUCAUUCGGUUGAACUAUGAAAACUUUAUUUUUGUGUAUUUAAGCAUUUUCCUUUUAAAAUAUUAUUUUUUUUAAGAGGUUUGGAAUUCAACGUACCUAGCUGUGAGGCUAAAAUAUAAAGUUUAAAACUAAUCAAAAAGUAGAUAUAUUCCACAUCAUUUAAAUGUAUAAAGCCAUUAAAUGUUAGAAAAAAUUGUAAAGAGAAACUACAUAAUUCUUGCAAUAAUGAUAGUUUUCCAUCUAAAACAUAUGCUAAGUGAUGAUGGGCUGAGUAGUGAGCCUCAUCAUUUGAUUAAACGGCAUUAAUGAAUGCAAAUAUUAUAUAAUAUCAAAUUUUUUUUUUAGACUAAUGAUAGAUGAUCUAUAUUUUAAUUUGAUUGUGUGGCUCCUUUUGAUAGUUGUGUGUAUCUUUAAGAGAUGGUUUGCCUGCUUAUGCAAUAUCUACAACAAAUUUUGUAACUUAAUUAAAUGUGUAUUGUACAAUUAAUGUCUUUUGUAACUUAAUUUUGUGUUUAUAAGUUCUAAUAUUGCUUCUUUUUUUAAGUUGUGGUUUGAUGUUCUUAGGAAGAAAUCAUCUCAUGUUGUCCUUGCUCCACCUUAUGCCAUUGACUUCAAGUUUCCGACUUCUGAAUCAUCCAAAAUUCAGUUUAUGAAUGUAUCAACUUAUUAAUGUGAUGACAGUUCAUUACGUUGCUCUUGUGAUGAUUGCCCUAGCGUGUGUUCAAGUUUUAAAGAUAUUCUACUCUCCAUCAAACUCUGGCCAGUCGAGGUUAGAAUGAGUGUGUUUGAUGAUGCAUUUGUGACUUUCAUUAUUUGGGGAUAUGAUUGGAAGGGUCAGCCUUUGUUGCAUUUAAAUGACUUGAGACUUAUUCAUGCUUUUAGGUCACACUUAUGCUUCUCAAAUUCAAGGAUGGUGAACUGGCUUGGGGGAUAGCUAAUUUUAUGGGAAGUUGCAGUUGGUGGAUUGUGAUCGGUUAUUAUCGCAUUUUCAGGAAUCGUAGGUUCUAUUUAGGUAUGCUUCUUGGUUUUGUACAUCAUGAAUUACGUAUAUUAUUUAAGAUAGAUUGAUUUAGAUUUAUUAGUGUAUAAGUAAGGUUGUUGUAUUAGUAAAGAUCAAUUUAUGUUAUUAAGAUGAUGUUAGGCUUGUUGAAUGAUGAAUAUGGUUGUCGGUAAGCCGUGACUUGGUUGGUUAAAGUAUUUUUUUUUUUUUUGAAUUGUUAAAGUGUUAAUUAACAAUUUUGAGGUAAGAGAUUCAAAUCUCAUAGACAUAUGUAAAGUUUGUGAGUUAUUUAAUAAAAGUUUUUUUUUUUAAAUGAUAAAUAUGGUUCGAGUCUAGUGUUUUUUUAAUGAUGAAUUAUAGGGGUGGGCAUAAAAAACCGUAAUCCCGAACCCGUUAGGCCCGUCUCGUCUCUUCCUGUUUAUAUAUAACGGGACAGGACACAGGACGGAUAAUUCAAGUCUGUUUAGGCCAGUCUCAUCCCAACUAUUUUAAUGAUUGAUUUUUUUUUGAUUAUGAUGUGAUUUGAGCAUUUCAUUUCAGUAUUUUGAUCUUAGCUUUUUGUUUCUUUAAGUUACUAGGUUGUGUUUAAUUCAAUAACAAUGAUGUUUAAUACUUUAAUUUAUUGAUUGUUGUAGACUCUCUUCUUACACCCUAGUAGUGAUGACAAAUUUAGAAAAAGAAAGUAGUAUAAACUCUCUUAUUACACCGUGUUGUACUUGUAAAUAUGUUACAAGUACCUGUUAAUACAUAAUAGAAUAGAAAGCACUAUAAAACUAUAGAACUCUUUCUUUUGCUUAAAAGUUUAUUUUCAACUUUUUUUAUCUGGGAUUGGGUUCGUCCGGUCCCGUCCGGGAUAGGGCCCAGGUGGGAGGAAAUCUAAAAAACGCAAAGCCCGUCCUGUCCCGUCCCGUCCCGUCCCGAUUUCAAUGUCUGGGACAGGCCAUUGGAUUAGCUCUGUUCCGUCUCAUCCCGUUCUAUGCUCAGCCCUAAUGAAUUAGGCCUACUUUGGUAUAGCUUCGAAACAGUUUUUAUCCGAACUUUUAGAUUUUAUAGUGUUUGGUAAAUGAAAGAAAAAUAUUAUUUUUUUUGAAAAUUACAGGUCACUAGCAGCAGCUUUUAGAAGCAACAUAAAUGUUAAUUUUACUGUCACUAAAAACACUAGAAAUUAAUAAAUUUUAUCUUGGCAGCACUUUUAAAACUAAUAUUUACCAAACACAAAACUGUUUUAAUUCACCGCUUAAUCCCAAUACAGCAGCAAAUAAUAGUGUUAUGAAGAUACAAGAUAGUGUUAAGUCUAGUGGUAACAAAUUCAGAGGAAUUGUGCUAGCGAGGAAACAUUUUACGUAUGGUAACAAAUCCAGUAGUAACAAAUCCUACAGGCUAUAACAUUAGCUCAACUAAACCAUUUUACAUAUAGUAGGGGAAAGAACCUAUUCUUGUUCACCAUUAGAGUUUUCUCAAGGUCACGCGAUGCUUAUCAUUUCAUUUGUUUUGUUAAUCAUUUCAUCUACAUUACUAGAGAUAUGCUAAAACAAAAGCAUCAAGUUGAGCUUAGUCUUUUCUUGAAGGUAUCAUAUGGUUCCAUCCCAUUUCUGACGAUAGAUUACCCAUAAAACAAUACUUGCGCCCACUUUGAAGCCUCACACCCUAAAAUCACAUUCACAUUCACAUAGCGAAUGUGACAAAGGAUUGGUUGCCAUCACAUGCUCGAACGUGUUGCCGGUGGUCGACGAUUUGGUGGUGAUUCAGAUUGAUGCUGUGGAAUCGGUGUCCACAACACUGGGAGAGCAAAGGUGGUUAUAGGCACGGCAGCGGAGCUGGCAGGUCUCGAAGCAAGGGCUGAGGUUGUCACGAUGGUGUCAGCCUUGGCGACUGUGUCGACAGCCUAGGAGAGCCCCCCGACAAAGGUAGGAAACCCUAACUCAAAUCUAGGGGUUUAGACCGAAUCAGGUUGUGGUAGUGUGUUAGGCCUAGGGACUUUUAAUGGGCUGAGAAACUGUCACACCCCAAUUUUCAAAAUGAAAUUUUCAAAAAUUUUGGCAUAAUAUCCCUUAAAAUAAUAUAAUCCCAAAAUUUGUUUCAACAAAAUUUCAAUGAAACUAAACUCAAUGCGGAAAGUAAAAUUUACACACAACUCCAUAUUGAGUUAAAUAUUACAUUUCCUUGUUUACAUAAACUCGAGAGUCAAGAAAAUGAGACGCUCACAUGAGUUUAAUAUUGUUUAUCCCAAUGUAUAUAUAAAAAUAAAUAUAUACAAUGAACAACCAAAACCCAACAAAAAACCCUGCCACUAAGCCUCCACCUCAACCCUGCUGAUCCUCACCUGCAGGGCUAACCCCUACACCAAGAAUUGGUGUACCGGGUUGUAAACAACAAACUCGGUAAGAUAAAAAGCUCGUAUGAGUAAACUCAAAAAUAACACAACAUUUAUCACAUCCAAUAUUUCACAAGAGAGAUUGGAUCCAUAAUUAAAGAAAAACACACAUCCAACACAUUACCCAAGAAAAGUACCCAUGAGUCCCAGAUACUUAAUAAAAUACCCCUCAUGACCUACAACAACACUAUGUGUACCCAUGGGUCCCAGAUACCAUACAGUAUCUCCUAUGACCUACACUGACAGACGGACUAGAGCUCUAUUCCUAACCGUAACCAAUCACCCAGCCAAAGGCUUGGAACCCGGUUUGACUGUCUAAUAUCAAACACAAAAAUAAUAAAUAGCAACUUAACCGCAACCAAUCACCCAAUUAAGGACUUGGAACCCGGUUUGGCUAUUUAUCAAAAAAUCAGAAUAUCACAACAUUAACCUCAACAACACAAUAUCACAUCAUUAUUCUCAACCACACAAUAUCACAUCAUUAAUUCUAUCCUUUCACAUGGAAAUAUUUACCUGAACAAAAUAUAGAUAUUCCACAAGAAUAAUCUAUAAAUAAUCAAUAAACUCAUGAUCACAUGAAUCUCAAAAUAGCACAUAAAGAAAAUUUGUUUUACCUUACCUUUGAGCCGUUGGCGAUCAAGCUCAUAUAUUUUUAAAAACAAUUAAAAGCAUAAUAUUAAAUCCAACAUCAUCAUCAUUAUCAUCAUCACAUGACCAUAAUUAAAUUUGGUUCAAAAGUGAACCUUGGUAAGAUUUACUCACCUAGAAAUCCUGCUGCAAAACCCCCAACACAACGAAGGCAAGCCAAUCACAAAAUCACAAAUCACCUAAAAUCACACAAUUAAAAACCUUAGAAACCAAGGUAUUAAAGGAUAACACAUUACCCUUAAACUAACCCUUAGCUCAAGGGAUGACAACUUCCCAAAGUCGUUGAACUCAACGACACAAUAGAGCUGCCUCAACUCUUCAAAACCUAAACUCUAACCCAACCAAACCAACACCAAUAAACUUAAGUCCUAGCAUGCCAACAUUUCUUAAAAACUAGCCACACUACCACUCAACAAACUCACAGCAGUAAGGAUUACCUAACCACAGGAAACUAGGGCAGCAACUCAGCCGGACGCGCUGCCACGCGCCGCCACAGGCGAUGACGAGUGGGCCCCACGCGCCACCCUAAACUUCCAAAUUUGAAAAAACUCCCAACAGCAAAGUUGAAGCUUGAAGCAAGGGGAACAACUUUCAUAC
rnacentral:lncRNA from 1 species